UCUCUCAGUGUUUCAAACCUAAUUAAAGAAAAAGAUGUUUCUAAAUUGUUAUCCCUUAAACAGUGCUUUUCCUUACAUUUUGAGCUGCUACUUUGCUAGUCCCAUGAGCUUAGUUGUCUGUGUAUAGGUUCUGAUUUGGUAAUAAAUUCCUAGAGUGUUGCUUUCUUUGUGGUUCCUAUUUGAUCUACAAUCACUGGUCCAUUUACUGCUACCAGUGAAAGUAACAAACCCCUCACCAGUAAGGAGUGACUUUUCCCGGAGUUUAUGUUCUUAAAAACCACAUAUUGUAAAACUGACUUCUUUUGUUUGCCAUACAUUAUACUGAUAAUUUCAGUGUUGAUGCAGAUAAGGUAAGAGUGGCUUUUUAGUUAAUUCUAACUGGUUUAAUAAAUAUACUUGGCCUUAUUUGUGUAACAUCAUUGCAAAAUGGAUGUUCCAUAUGGUGAAUUUUCCAGAUGACUGUAUCUUAUUUUAUAAAUCUCCCAAAACUAUUUUUUAAAAUUUGUACUGUAUUUUUUGAGCAGUGCAGAUUUGCGGAGAAUCUCAACAGUGAGGUGAAUUCUUCCUCCCUUCUCUGCUCCCCUCACAAUGCUCCAAGCCCCUUUCUGAUAUCUUGACAUCUCACCUUGGUAUAUAUACUCUUGUUAUGCUUGAAUCACUAUGAUACAUUAUUACCAAAGUACAUAGUUUACCUUAAGGUUCACUCUGUGUUGUACAGUUCAGUGGGCUUUGAUAAAAGUAUAAUGUCCUAUAUCUACCAUUACAAGAUCAUACAGAAUAGUCCCCGGGCAGUGAUUUUUUUUUUUUUUUUUGCACUGCCUCUGUAGUUUGCCAUUUCCAGAAUGUUAUAUAGUGAGAAUCCUACAGUUACUUAACAAUUUGCACUUCAGGUUCCUCCAUGUCUUUUUGAGGCUUAAUGGUUCAUUUCUUUUUGUCUGUUACAUGGAUGUUCACAUCUGUUUGAGGGACAUCUUGGUUGCUUAAAAGUUUUAGAAAUUGCUAUAAACUGCUGUGAACAUUCAUGGGCAGUUUUUUGUGUGGACAUAAGUUUUCAACUCAUUUGAGUAAAUACCUAGGAGUGUGCUUUCUGGACUAUAUGUUAAGAGUAUGUUGGACUUUUGUAAGACACCACCAAACCAUAUUCCAUAGGAGCUCUACCAUCUAGCAUUCCCACCAACAAUUGAAUGAGGGUUCAGGUUACCCCAUGUGCUCUCCAGUAUUUGGUGGUGUCAGUCAUUUUGCUACUGAUUUUGCUACUCUAAUAAAUGUGUACUGGUAUAACAUUUCUGUUUUAAUUUCCGGGUCUGUAAUGACAGGUUGAGCAUCUUUUUUCAUAUUCUAAUCUAUUUUUAAUUGGCUUUUAUUGAAACUUUGUUGAAAUGUAUCAUACUUGUUCUCUGACUUUGUAAAAUGGAGAACUUGAACUUACCCUUUUCUUAGUGAUUCAGAGUUAAUCCUUAAGUUAUGUUCCCCUAAGCAGCUAGCAGAUGGGGUAGCAGGGCUUUUCUGCCUGUCACUAAAUGGUCUUUGAGUUUUGGUUGUUUCCUCUUAUUUAAAGCAUUUUUACUCUUCUGUUUUCAGGCUGACAACUUUUAUUCCUCUUCUAGUUCCUCCCUCCAGUUUGUAGUGAAUCCAGUGAAACAGUCAUUAAAGACUUGUUAGGAUUAUGGAUAAGUUAGGAGGACAGCCUAACUCCUCUUUGGGGAUGAGGAGUAAGUAGUAGGGAGUUGGUAGUCUUUGAGCUUUAGUGCUUUGUGUCAUUUCUCUAGGCUGUGGUCUUUUUAGCUUUAUCUUUGGUUGCCAGAAGUGUUCCUGGUAGACCCAAGUGUAAAGUAGAUGUUUAUGCAUGAUUAUGUUGUGUAGUUGUAGAAUAUUUAUAGCUGGAAAGCACCUAGCAUCAGUUUAAUUUCACGGCCCCAUCCUUCUGCCAUGACUGUUAUUAAGGAUUUGAUCUAUUUUUAAAAAGAUUUGAUCUAUUAAAACCUAUUAAGGAAAAAAGUUCGAUAAAUGGGACAAAAAAUAGGAAACAUUUGUGGCUAGAGUCUUCCCACUCCCUUCAGUCCUUGCCACUUUCUCCAGUGCAUGUCUCCAGUGCUGCCUAGUGAUGUGACAUGGUGACUGCUUAUAUGGAGGAGCAUACUUGAAUGUUGAGGUGUUUGCCCAGAGAAGUCAGGAAUGUAGUUGGAAACUGUGGGGGAAAGUAUGGCCAGCAUCAGCUGCUGCCUUGCUAAUGGAUAGCCAGAAAGGGCUGUGUGGGCUCUCAGUUCAGGCUUGGAUUCUGGAGGCUAGGGUCAGCAUGCUUUCCUUCCUCCCUGGCUGGACUUGACCUCAGGCAGAUCCAGCUGCCUGCAUCUCUGCAGCUGAGAUAGACACAGACACUCCCCCAAGAUGUGUCCAGCUCCUUGCUCACCACCGUUUGUCCUAUUACACGAGGGCAGGUGGGAAAGGAAUCAAGGGAGGGGAGCAGUGUGUUCAGUGACUGCUUCCUAUCCUCUUUAUGAUCAGAAAAGUUUUAUGGCCAACUCUUCUCUUAUUUUUUUCUAAGGUCUUCUCUGGACCUUUCAUGUAAGUUUUGAGAGGUGCUUAACAGCAACCCAAAGCAAAUGAAAUUGGGAGCAAAUGACUUGGUCCAGUCCUCUUUAUCUUACAGUGAAAGACCCAAACCCAGAGAAAUUUUACAAUCUGUACUCAGGACCACAUUUUGAAGUGGGAAAUAGGACUUGUAUCUGUUUUGGAUCUUGAUGGAUGCUGCAGAUAAGCUUUAGAGAAAGUAAGCCAGGCAGUAGAAACAUUUCUUAAGAACCUUUAAGCAUCUGAAGCACGAUGCCAAUACAGACUAUUCACCCAAGUUAGUGGUAGUUAUUAAGAAGUAUAAGAUAAAUUGACAUUAUAGAUUGGAACUAACAUUUAUAAUAUUUGCUAUGUGCUAGAUACUUUUAUUUUAUUAAAUCUGUACAUUGGCUGUAAGCUAUACCAUUAUUUUCUUUUUGGAGAAGAGGAAACUGAAGUUUAUCGAAUGACUUAUUCUAGUAGUCAGGCCCCUGAGAAGUGGAAGAAGGAAUAGAAUUAGGUCAGUUUAGUUCUAGAGCCUAUUCCUUUGCCAUAUUCCAGGAUUACUUUUAACAGUGUAAAUGCAAAAGUACUCAAUUCUUGAAAUAAAUGUUAUGUCCACUCAUUUUUCUGAUGUAAUUAAUUACUCUUACCUUCUCUUUCCUGUAAUUUUUUUUUAAGAUUUGUUUACUUUAGAGAGAGAGAGUGAGCACAGAACAAGGGAGGAGCAGAGGAAGAGAGAGAGAACCCCCAAGCAGACUCCCUGCUGAGUGUGGAGCCUGAUGUGGGCACCAUCCAGUGACCCUGAGAUCAUGACACGAGCUAAAACCAAGAACCAACUGCUCAAGUGACUGAGCCACCUAGGCGCCUCACCUGAAAUGCCUUUUUUUUUUUUUUUAACCAGGAGACUUUUAGGCUUUUGUGUUGUGGGAUUGAAAUGAAUUGGGGAAUGUCACUGUCAGAGCUAUAUCAGAGUAUAAAUAUACACCUACUUGUUUUUCAGGAAACUCUUUAUUACAUGAAUCAGUCAUUCUGAAAAUUUCCAUGAAUUAUAUUUAGACCACUAACUUAAAACAAUAUAAAGCUCUAUCAGUUAUUUUUAUUAAUAAGAUCCCCGACAGUGCUCUGCCCACUAGAUGACAGUUCCAGAGUCAUUAGCUGUAUGUAUGAUCACUGUCAGUUACCAGGAGAACUGCCUCUGUGUACUUGGCUCUGGGUUUGGUGUCUGUAGCACUACCCCAGAGCUAUCCCAGAGCUGAGUUUGGUUCUGAAUGUUCAAAAUGCUUUCAAUUAGCACAUCUUGAAUGACUUUUUUAGACAAAUAGCUAAUCAUGGUGUAUGACUACUGUAUUACAGAACAUAAAUCCUAAACUAUAGUGUUAGUAAUUAUUAUGUAAUUAGAGAUGGAUGAAUCAAGCUUCAUUUGCAAUUUGUUAAAAUACCUCAAGCUAUUUUUCAAACAUUUUGAAAUAUGUUUUGUAACAUUUUUCAAAUGUACUUUACCAAGCAUAUUUGCUCUAAUUUUUAAACCCUUGUGUAUUUUAAGGGAAAUUUAAUCCAUAUGUUUGAUUCAUUUGCACUUAACUCAUCAGAGAUAUUUUUUUAAGAACAAUUUGGUUUCCAAGCAGCUUUAGAAACCCUUGUCAUGAAUUCCAUCAGCCUUUUUUAAAAAAAGCCUUUUCUCCAGUCAAAAACUUUUUUCCUCUAAAGGUAAAUGUGGAUGAAAUAUUUUAGUUGGGUUAACAAUGCAGAGCCCAUAUUUUAAAUUCUAAGAUAGUUCUGAAUUUAGUGUAAUAAGUUAUUCUGCCUUUACUGAAAGCCCUGGCUUCAUUUGUUUCUCUUCAAAACGGGUCUCUGCAAAAAGCUUGUAAUAAAUAACAGUGUGCUCUCUUGAAAACACAGUGCAUUGACGUUUUCUGUACUGCCUCCCUAAGUUCAUAGGUGACAAAUGUGGGUUGAUCAGACAUAUCAAAUGAAAUUAACUGUUUUGGGGAUCCAUCACAUGUGAUGAAUAUGUAUAUACAUUCAAAUAUAUAUGUAUACAUUCAUAAACUGCUUAAAUUCUUACAGAUUUUUUUUUUUUACCUGUAGUUACACAUUCUAGCAAGACAUUGUAUUCUGGAUUAAAUUAAUAAUUAAUUGGGAAAUGACUAUAAUUGUUCUCUCUUCAGGAAUAUUUCUUUUUUUUUUUCUCUUCAGGAAUAUUUCUCACCUCAGAUUUAGUUCAACAGGUUUGUGUUGCCUAGGAGUUGGUCUGUGAGUACAGCUUUUCAUGCAGUUUUAAUUCAAUGGGGUGAUUGUAUGAAAUCCUCCUAGAAAGAGUAAGGUCAUUUCAGUGAAGGUAAAAGGGAAAUAUGUUGCCAGCUAAUUGGACAGUAUGUCAUACACCAGAGUGACUCUGGGAGAGAUUUGCUGAAACAUAGCAACAAAGGAAUGGAGCUAGAAAUACAUGAAAAGAAAGGCACCAAUUUCUUGGGUUCUCAUUAGAGAAUUGUGUGCAAUACAUAUUUGCUAAUCAAAAAAAAUAACUUCUUUAGUUCCAGUUCUUGGUGGAGACUCAUUUUUUUUUCUCCAAAUUCUUUAAUGUGGGAUGAAAGCAAGGAAAACAUAUUUUCUGUACUUUUCAAAGCAUACCAAUUUGUUACAUAUUUUUCCUAGUUUGUAUGUAAAUGAACUCAAUAUUUUAGGAAAAUUUUUAUGAUUAAUGAAUGUCUUUUAAGAAUUAACACCUAUUUUUUUAAAUUCAAAUCAAAAUGAAAAACCUCUUGCAUGAGGGGAUACUUUCCUUUUUACCUUGUGUUUUUCCACAAGGUAAAUUGUGGAAAUUAAAUUAUUUUCCUUUACAAAGGAAAUAUGCUUAUAAGAUUUUUAAGGUAAAAUUUUAAAAAGCAGUAUUUAUAGAAAACAAGUAAGUGCCUGCUCUGCUGUCUCCCAAAAGCCCUGGGCCUGUAAGUCCGUCAUAACUGGACCUCCUCAUUCAACUUCUAGGGCUUGAUUAUCCUGGUCACUGUCACUGGUAGUCUGGAACAGUGUUCUGCAGACUUCUGUGAUGAUGCCUCUCCAUCAAUAAGAUAUUUGUGAACUUUCCACUCUAUGUUGUUAGUUUGCAGAAUAUUUGUAAUUUGCAGUAGUAUUUGUAUGUAAUUUAUAACCAUAUUCAUAAAAUUAGAAAAUUUAGACUGUAAACAUGAAAACACGGGCAAAUAAUUUUAUUGGUACAAAAUGCACUCAAAAUUAUGAAGAAUAUUUGUACCGAGAGCCAUGAGAUUAAAUAUACUUUCUUCUUUUUUUUGAACUAUGGCCUCAUGGGGUACAGUGAUUCAGUGUAUGUCAGUGCUUUGUUUAAUUACAGUUGUAGUUGAAAAGUUACUUCAUAAAAGUACAUAGAUCCAAGUGAAAGAAAUAAGUCAGUGGCUGCAAUUGUAAGUCAUGAGCUCCAUUAAAAAAUGAUGUAAAGAAUCAUGCUCACUGGGGCACUUGGGUAGCUCAGUCAGUUGUCUGCCUUCAGGUCAUAAUCUCGGGUCCUAGAAUGGAGUCCCCUGUCCGACUCCCUGCUCAGUCUGCCUCUCCCUCUGCCCCUGACCUUGCUUGUGCUCUCUCUCUCUCCCUCUCUCUCAAAUAAAUAAAUAAAAUCCUUUUAAAAAAAAAUCUUGCUGACUAAUUAUGCAGAAGUUUUCAUUUACCUUUGGCUAACACCUGUGAACUGCUUCAUGUGGAAGAUUUUUAAAGAAAUUGGAAAUUUAUUUCAAGUGUAAGUUGCAGAUAUUAGAAUUUUUAGUCAGAGACUCACUGUUUUUGGCAAGAAAACCAUGGAGCGGUGGAAACAUCUACUCAAGGUUAGGAACUAGGUCUUCCUUUUGCCUGCCUCCCUGAUCCGCAUGUGCCCAGGAAUUCCAGUUCUCAGGGGGUCCCACCAAUGGUUUUCUCAAUUCUGCUCCAUCUGGACAUGAUCGUCCUUGAAUGCCUUGGGACAGGUGUAAUUCUGUUGUGAGUUUUCCUUUUCUCAGUCUUAAAGUAAUUCCUGACUUGGAGAUGAGAUAUGAAUGUCACUGUCCAUUUCUUCCUUUUCAUUUGUCAGGGGUCCCUGUGCCAACGUCCACAGCAGCUUCUGUGGCUUAUGUUCAGAACUUCCCCUACAGAAGUGCCAGUUGUGGUCCUUCUCUAUCGGCUGUCGGCUGAUGAAGGUGGUGCUGCUCCUGGCUGGCCUCUCCUCGCUUGUGAAGGAGGAAGGAGUAGGAGGACUCUUCAGUUAAAUGUGAAUGGAACUGUCGAAGGGAGAAAUAAAGAGUAGAGCAGAGAUUCUUAGUUACUAACUGGAAAGUGUUAAGGUAUGAGAGUCAGACUAGAAGGGAGACUCGAGGAAGGAGGAUAUGGAGUUUUCAAAGGGAAGGAAUCCUGCUGUAUUCUGUGACUAUAUAAAGCCUGCCAUGUACCACAGAUGUUUGGUCGUAUUUGCACUGUGUAUACUCUGGUCAAAACCUCACUUUUGCUGUCUGGCUAGAGAUCUGUUAGCCAUUUACACAAGGGGCCAGUUGAUUGGAUCGUGAGAGGCCUUAUGGUAUUGUGAGAACGUCAGCUAUGGCGUCAGAAACCUGGAUUCUAGCCCCAGCCCUGCCACUUCCAAAUUUUGUGACCAUGGGCAGUUUACUUAUUCUCUCUGUGCCUCCGUUAUCCCACCUGAAAAUGGAGAUAAGAAUAAGAUAGGACUGCUGGGGAGAUGAAAUGAGAUACUACAUUUAAAGUGCUUAUCAGCUUCUGACACUGCAAUAAACUCUCAGUAAAUGUGUGCUAAGCUGGCACAUGACAGGCUUUCCCAGAGCCAGUUGCUGAAUAUUAAGGAAUUCUGCAAGUCUUCUAAUCAUCAAUAGCUUGGAAUUGACCUCAGUGGGUGUAUUUAUACCAUGGAAAUCAGUAAACACUACUACAAGUCGAGGCUUCCUCUGCACACUCCAUUCGAGAGCCAGUUUACUAGCACACCACUGGUUAGCUGUUUUUAUUUUGUGUUUCUUCUUUUUUCUCUGCAAGUAAAGCAGCCCUGCAUACCUAGUCUAGCUUUUUGUCAGUCUAGUCCCUUUGAAAUAAGUGGAUGCAAUGAUGAAUAAUAUUCCUAACCCUUGCCAGGCAUAGUGAAUAAUAAGGUCAGAUUGAUUUGCCUUGAGCCAUUUUUGACUUGGGGUAAAUGGCUGUUUGGGAUCUGCCAAAAUUAAGGCCACUCUCUUUUCUGAGCUAGACUUUACUCCACCACUUUUAUUGCAGUAUAGUAGAAAUCUGAGGAUACCAGAAAUAGACCAAAGUGUUGCACUACCCUUUUAUUCUCUGAGGCAUACAGUCUGAGCUCUAUCUAGGCAGUGUGCACACUGCUUUACCCUUUUGCCAAAGAUGAGAUUCUCUUAAUUGUCCAAAAGGUUCUGAACCCCAGAACUGGCGUGGCCUACCUAGUGGUUGUAGACAUGUGUACAUAGAAACAUUUUGCCAGGCAUUUGUGGGAACUGUUUGGCCAUUUUCUAGCAAAGGUGGUAGGGGCAAGAGGAAGAGGGGGUUCUGUUCUCACUUCUUUUAAUACCUUUCCUCAUCCAAAAACUGGAGUUUAGUGGUAGCACCCAAUUAGAACUCUCUUGCCUCAGCACAUGAUCACAUUUCUCCUUACUUAUGAUAGAAACAGAAAAGCAAGCAUGAGUUCUCAACAAAGAGGCUCUUUAUAUCAGGAAUUUACAAGCUACACACUGUUUUUCUAAUUGCAGAUGUAUACACAUGUAGAAGAUCACACAGAUCCUUGUGUACCUUGCUUAAGAAUCAAACUGGAGUUGUAGGGUGUUAGCCCCACUUUUCACAAGGAAGAAAAAGUGUUAGAUGAUGUCAGAGGGUCUCAGGUUCCAUAGAGUGGAGCCUUCCAAGGUUUUUCAUGUAAGGAAGUUUUCUGUGUUAAUGCAGGAGGGAUUAUGCAGGAAGGGGUCUGGAGGACCUAGCCAAGACCUAUUUUUUCAUCUAUUUCUAAUUUGAAUCUUAUGCAAAGAUUAUUAUGUAGGUCUAUUUAGACCUUUAUUAAGUCAUUCUACUUACUGAAUGCCCAGCAGAUUCUAGAUAAAAACCCUUCUUUAAGGAACUUGUCCUGCUAGAGAAAGCCCAAAAACAAACCAUCACAGAAUACUAUGCAUUGGUAACAGUGAGUAUGUGACUAAGAAGUGAUUUAGAGGAGGAAAAGGACAAAGAAGGCUUCACAGAGGACAUGAUGUGAUGUCAGCCAUGUUCGGAAACAGGAAGAGGAGUUUGGCAGGUGAUGAGGGAAGGACUCCUAAUCCAGGUAGAGCUAGUCAUCAUCACCUUUCUGGUAUUUUGUAUUAAAGUGAUGGUUGUGUUUUAUUAGAGCAAGUUCUUUAAUCCCGCUAGUUCUUCACUACAUGGUGAGCUCUAUGAAGGUAGGGAGCAGUGUAGUCAUUGCUUCCUGUACUUUGUAUAUUGUAGCUUCUUACAUCCCAGUGGGCAGUGAGAAUCUAUAAUCAUACAAGGGGGUCUUCUUUCUUCACUGUGACCUUGUAAGCAAAACCGUUCUAAGGAACAUGGAUAUGAAGAAACAUGUUUUCCGCAGGAUGAUGGCAAGGCUUGGAUUUGAAAUCAGCUCUGAAGCAGAAAGCCUAGAACACAAUUGAGUGUCUAGUCUAUGGACAUGGUCUAAAUAAACACAAAUAUCAUUUUCUUUUAUUUCUGUGUAGCUUCAAGGCACCUUAUUGUGAUUCCAGGUUAUUGUAUUGAUAAACUGCUUUGCCUAUGUUCUGUACUGGGAUGGUGGCUGCUCUGGCCACAGCUGGCUGUGGAGACACAAUGACAGUGUUCCUCUCAGUGGUCUGAUUUGUGUGUGCCGUGGAUGAUGGUACAGCACUGCAGCCACAGUAUUGUCCCAGUGCUACAAUAUUCCCCCUUGUUCUUCCAGGAUCACAUGCAGUCUGUUAGUCCAUCUUGGAGUAGUCUGUAGGAUAGAAUUUUUUUCCACAUAGGAACCAAGCCUACUUUGUAAAUCAAAAGGCACUUCUUAAUUUGCAGUUGUAUAUUAAAUUCACACAUUUCAGAUUGAAAUUCGCACACAAUCUAUUUUGCAUUACUCACACUUAAUAGUAAUUUCUUUUGGCUAUUGCCCCCAGGCUAUAUAGGAAUGAAGAAAAAGAUUUGAGCUCUCUGUUUUGACUAUGUUCACAGAUUGUAAAUCUAAUUGGUUCUGAUUUUUUUCCCCCUCUUAAAGUAACACACACUUUCUGAACGAAGUCUGAUAAAUGGGGACAGGUUUGCCUUAUUACCAUGUUCACUUUACCUAAAUUAUCCUGUCAGUUCAUUUGGAAAAUUCACCUGUUUUUCUGCCCUAAUUUGCUACAUCAAGUUGAUGUGUGCCACUAAUAGAGAUGAUAUCCACCUUGUGAAAUGGCAAGGAAAAUUAUGUCUGCAUUAGAUAAUGCUUUAAGAUGGACCUAUUUCAGAAUUGGAAGGGACCUUACAGAUCAUUGAAUUCAGUGUUUCCUGUACUGAGCUAGAGAAUCCAUUUGUUUUUUGAGAAAUUUUUAAAUACUAUGUUCUCAUUAGAUGAACAACCACAAAAAAAUCUAAGUACAGACCUCUCUGAAUGGAGAACUAUCAUGAAAUUUCAAAGGUUACAUGACUUGGCUCCAGGAAUAGAUCAAGGUUUCCUGUAGAUCUAAAGGAAUUUAGCAAUAGGCAGUGGCCUGGGGCCUCUAGAUGGUUAAGACCAGGGUCCCUCUUCAUCACAUUGGACUCUAGUUAGGUAUAUUGAAGUGAGGGCAUAGCUAUGAUGGCAGUGUCAUGCCAUCCCCAAAUUGCCGUGGGAGGCAGCUGGUUUUACAUAUAUGAAUUGUUUUAUAUUUCUGGUGUCCUUGGUGCUAUAUGAAUUAUAAGGCUGCUGUGGCCAGGAGCUUCCAUUCUGAGAGUAUACAAUAGCCAAUCUAUCUUAUUAUUCUUUGAGUAUUUAAGAUAUAUGCCCAGUGGUGAGUGGUGAAUCAGUCAGCUUUAUCUAAGUAGGACUGAGAUAAAUGAAGCAACCCCAAUGUUCUGGUGGCUUGUGUUGCUUACUCAUUUAGAUAUGUCAUUUGCAGCUCUUCCUUGGUUGAUUCUGCUCCCUGCAUUGUCUUCAUUUUGAGAUCUGUGAUGCCUUCAGUAGCUCCCCCUAUCUUCAUGACACAGGGAAAAGAGCAAGAGGGCUCAGAAGCAUUCAAAAGUUAUUAACUUCUGAUGGUGCAUGCAUUACUUCUUCUGUGACCCAUUGGUCAAAAUAAGUCACAUAGACAAAGCCAUUGUCUGUGAAACUGGCAAAUACUAUUUCCGCAAGAUGUCACAUGUCAGUAGAUGGAGAUGUAUAAUCCUCUUCCAGAGAGGAGGUUGAAUAAUUGGGAAUAAUAAUAUACUCUACCAUGGGUGAUGUCCAUCCACCCAUGCAGUU
rnacentral:lncRNA from 1 species